rnacentral:rRNA from 1 species
GUAACGCGUGGGUAACCUGCCUUGUACAGGGGGAUAACAGUUGGAAACGGCUGCUAAUACCGCAUAAGCGCACAGCAUCGCAUGAUGCAGUGUGAAAAACUCCGGUGGUAUAAGAUGGACCCGCGUUGGAUUAGCUAGUUGGCAGGGUAACGGCCUACCAAGGCGACGAUCCAUAGCCGGCCUGAGAGGGUGAACGGCCACAUUGGGACUGAGACACGGCCCAG